UACGUAGGGUGCAAGCGUUGUCCGGAAUUAUUGGGCGUAAAGAGCUCGUAGGCGGUUUGUCGCGUCGAAUGUGAAAACCCGGGGCUCAACCCCGGGCCUGCAUUCGAUACGGGCAGACUAGAGUUCGGUAGGGGAGUCUGGAAUUCCUGGUGUAGCGGUGAAAUGCGCAGAUAUCAGGAGGAACACCGGUGGCGAAGGCGGGACUCUGGGCCGAUACUGACGCUGAUGAGCGAAAGCGUGGGGAGCGAACAGG
rnacentral:rRNA from 1 species